rnacentral:rRNA from 1 species
GACGAACGCUGGCGGCGUGCCUAAUACAUGCAAGUAGAACGCUGAAGCGAGGAGCUUACUCUUCUUGGAUGAGUUGCGAACGGGUGAGUAACGCGUAGGUAACCUGCCUUGUAGCGGGGGAUAACUAUUGGAAACGAUAGCUAAUACCGCAUAACAAUGGAUGACACAUGUCAUUUAUUUGAAAGGGGCAAUUGCUCCACUACAAGAUGGACCUGCGUUGUAUUAGCUAGUAGGUGAGGUAAUGGCUCACCUAGGCGACGAUACAUAGCCGACCUGAGAGGGUGAUCGGCCACACUGGGACUGGGACACGGCCCAGACUCCUACGGGAGGCAGCAGUAGGGAAUCUUCGGCAAUGGGGGCAACCCUGACCGAGCAACGCCGCGGGAGUGAAGAAGGUUUUCGGAUCGUAAAGCUCUGUUGUAAGUCAAGAACGGGUGUGAGAGUGGAAAGUUCACACUGUGACGGUAGCUUACCAGAAAGGGACGGCUAACUACGUG